GAUGAACGCUGGCGGCGUGCCUAAUACAUGCAAGUCGAGCGAACGGACGAGAAGCUUGCUUUUCUGAUGUUAGCGGCGGACGGGUGAGUAACACGUGGAUAACCUACCUAUAAGACUGGGAUAACUUCGGGAAACCGGAGCUAAUACCGGAUAAUAUUUUGAACCGCAUGGUUCAAAAGUGAAAGACGGUCUUGCUGUCACUUAUAGAUGGAUCCGCGCUGCAUUAGCUAGUUGGUAAGGUAACGGCUUACCAAGGCAACGAUGCAUAGCCGACCUGAGAGGGUGAUCGGCCACACUGGAACUGAGACACGGUCCAGACUCCUACGGGAGGCAGCAGUAGGGAAUCUUCCGCAAUGGGCGAAAGCCUGACGGAGCAACGCCGCGUGAGUGAUGAAGGUCUUCGGAUCGUAGAACUCUGUUAUUAGGGAAGAACAUAUGUGUAAGUAACUGUGCACAUCUUGACGGUACCUAAUCAGAAAGCCACGGCUAACUACGUGCCAGCAGCCGCGGUAAUACGUAGGUGGCAAGCGGUAUCCGGAAUUAUUGGGCGUAAAGCGCGCGUAGGCGGUUUUUUAAGUCUGAUGUGAAAGCCCACGGCUCAACCGUGGAGGGUCAUUGGAAACUGGAAAACUUGAGUGCAGAAGAGGAAAGUGGAAUUCCAUGUGUAGCGGUGAAAUGCGCAGAGAUGUGGAGGAACACCAGUGGCGAAGGCGACUUUCUGGUCUGUAACUGACGCUGAUGUGCGAAAGCGUGGGGAUCAAACAGGAUUAGAUACCCUGGUAGUCCACGCCGUAAACGAUGAGUGCUAAGUGUUAGGGGGUUUCCGCCCCUUAGUGCUGCAGCUAACGCAUUAAGCACUCCGCCUGGGGAGUACGACCGCAAGGUUGAAACUCAAAGGAAUUGACGGGGGCCCGCACAAGCGGUGGAGCAUGUGGUUUAAUUCGAAGCAACGCGAAGAACCUUACCAAAUCUUGACAUCCUUUGACAACUCUAGAGAUAGAGCCUUCCCCUUCGGGGGACAAAGUGACAGGUGGUGCAUGGUUGUCGUCAGCUCGUGUCGUGAGAUGUUGGGUUAAGUCCCGCAACGAGCGCAACCCUUAAGCUUAGUUGCCAUCAUUAAGUUGGGCACUCUAAGUUGACUGCCGGUGACAAACCGGAGGAAGGUGGGGAUGACGUCAAAUCAUCAUGCCCCUUAUGAUUUGGGCUACACACGUGCUACAAUGGACAAUACAAAGGGCAGCGAAACCGCGAGGUCAAGCAAAUCCCAUAAAGUUGUUCUCAGUUCGGAUUGUAGUCUGCAACUCGACUACAUGAAGCUGGAAUCGCUAGUAAUCGUAGAUCAGCAUGCUGCGGUGAAUACGUUCCCGGGUCU
rnacentral:rRNA from 1 species